CCGAUACUGUGAUGAUAACAUAGUUCAGCAGACUUAACCUGAUGAACAAUCCUAAAGUCUUUCGCUCCUAUCUGAUGUAUCUG
ensembl:snoRNA